rnacentral:rRNA from 1 species
UGGGGAAUAUUGCACAAUGGGCGCAAGCCUGAUGCAGCCAUGCCGCGUGUGUGAAGAAGGCCUUCGGGUUGUAAAGCACUUUCAGCGAGGAGGAAGGUGGUGAACUUAAUACGCUCAUCAAUUGACGUUACUCGCAGAAGAAGCACCGGCUAACUCCGUGCCAGCAGCCGCGGUAAUACGGAGGGUGCAAGCGUUAAUCGGAAUUACUGGGCGUAAAGCGCACGCAGGCGGUUUGUUAAGUCAGAUGUGAAAUCCCCGGGCUCAACCUGGGAACUGCAUUUGAAACUGGCAAGCUAGAGUCUCGUAGAGGGGGGUAGAAUUCCAGGUGUAGCGGUGAAAUGCGUAGAGAUCUGGAGGAAUACCGGUGGCGAAGGCGGCCCCCUGGACGAAGACUGACGCUCAGGUGCGAAAAGCGUGGGGCAGCAAACAGGAUUAGAUACCCUGGUAGUCCACGCUGUAAAACGAUGUCGAUUUUGGAGGUUGUGCCCUUGAGGCGUGGCUUCCGGAGCUAACGCGUUAAAUCGACCGCCUGGGGAGUACGGCCGCAAGGUUAAAACUUAAAUGAAUUGACGGGGUCAUAGCUG